rnacentral:misc_RNA from 1 species
GAAAUUAUUUCCCUUUUCUUUUGCGGACUCACUUGCUGUAUAUUUUGUAAUAAUUAGGGACAAAUAUGUCAAUUCCAUGUCCUUUCUGUGCCAUCUUCAACAACUAAGCCCCAAGCGUCAUAGUGUGUAUUGCAAAAAGUUCAGAUUAAUGCUAAUGCAUGUGAGAUAAUGCCUACUGUUUUUGACUGAUUCUAUAGAAUAUAGACUGAAUGGUAACUUGUUUUAUGUUUUCUACUUCAGUAACUACUUUGUCAGUAUUUAUACUCAGCAACCAAAUUGCUCUGAAGAUGAGGUUUUCUAUUGUCAGCAGAUAUUUAUUUCUGUGUCAAUAUUUUAUUGCUUGUGCCAUUCCAUGGAUCACCUAUCAGUUUUAUCAGAAUACAUGAACUGUAAUUCAAUUUCAUAUUUUAUUCAGCAUUUGUUUGCCUGCAUUUCUUACAUUUUGAGCUUCAUUUUUA